rnacentral:rRNA from 1 species
AGCAGCAGCAGCCAGGACAGGAGCCCUUCCAAGCAGCAGCCGCAGCCACACCCCACAGAGCAGCAGCAGAUCCAGAUGCACCAGCAGCUGCCCUUCUCCUUGGUCAAUCAGCAGCAGGACAGCAGACCAACACUCAGCAGUUCCCGCAGCACCUCCUGCGCCUCCUACUCUGCAGCCAGCUCGCCCAGAACGCGCCCACAACCGCCUCCUCCUCCGCGUCGCGCGCGCGCAAGAGCAGCCUCCUCUCUCUCCUGACCCCGCCAGGCCCGGCCGCCUUGCCGGCGAGGGACUACGCCGCCACCGCCGGAACGCCAACCUGCUCUGAUGCCAUGUUGGGAUUCGCCGGAUUAUCACUUGCGCCUCCGUAAACUCGCAAGAGAAGUGGGCUGGCGAUUUUCUGGAAGACUGUCGAACACACACACUCCAUUCCUUGUCAGAGAUAAGUACACAAUACAUUUCACAUUUUGG